rnacentral:rRNA from 1 species
UGAGUACAAGAUGCUACGGCAUUGAAGCAGUCUAUGUCAUACUUCCAAGAAAAGCUUGCAAUGUCAUAAACAAAUAAUGCCUGUACCAUAACCGACACAGGUGGGUAGGUAGAGUAUACUAAGGGGCGCGAGAUAACUCUCUCUAAGGAACUCGGCAAAAUGACUCCGUAACUUCGGGAGAAGGAGUACCUUAUUUUAUAAGGUUGCAAUAACAAGGUCCAAGCAACUGUUUACCAAAAACACAGGUCUCCGCUAAGUCGUAAGACGAUGUAUGGGGGCUGACGCCUGCCCAGUGCCAGAAGGUUAAAGAAGUUGGUUAGCAUUAGCGAAGCUGAUAACUGAAGCCCUGGUGAACGGCGGCCGUAACGAUAACGGUCCUAAGGUAGCGAAAUUCCUUGUCGGGUAAGUUCCGACCCGCACGAAAGGCGUAAUGAUUUGGAUACUGUCUCGGAGAGGGGCUCGGUGAAAUAGACUUGUCUGUGAAGAUGCGGACUACCUGCACCAGGACAGAAAGACCCUAUGAAGCUUUACUGUAACUUGAGAUUGAAAUUGGACUUUAUUUGCGCAGUAUAGGUGGGAGACCUCGAAAGUAUUCUUGCGGGAAUAUUGGAGUCAUCAGUGAGAUACCACUCUUAUAAUGUUAGAUUUCUAACUUUGUAUCAUUAUCUGGUCAAAGAACAGUUUCAGGCGGGCAGUUUGACUGGGGCGGUCGCCUCCCAAAUGGUAACGGAGGCGCACAAAGGUUUCCUCUGAACGUGUAGAAAUCGUAUCUAGAGUGUAAAGGCAUAAGGAAGCUUGACUGUGAGACCUACAAGUCGAGCAGGGACGAAAGUCGGUCUUAGUGAUCUGACGGUGCUGAGUGGAAAGGCCGUCACUCAACGGAUAAAAGUUACUCUAAGGAUAACAGGCUGAUCUCCCCCAAGAGUUCACAUCGACGGGGAGGUUUGGCACCUCGAUGUCGGCUCAUCGCAUCCUGGGGCGGUAGUACGUCCCAAGGGUUGGGCUGUUCGCCCAUGAAAGCGGUACGCGAGCUGGGUUCAGAACGUCGUGAGACAGUUCGGUCCAUAUCCGGUGUAGGCGUUAGAAUAUUGAGAGGAGCCUUCUUUAGUACGAGAGGACCGAGAAGGACAUACCUCUGGUGUACCAGUUAUCGUGCCAACGGUAAACGCUGGGUAGCUAUGUAUGGAGAGGAUAACCGCUGAAAGCAUCUAAGUGGGAAGCCCACCUCAAGAUAAG